AUUUAUCAUAAAUUAUCAUAUGAACAAACUAAAUACCUCUCUGCCAUAGCUGCUUAACAUUGCUUAAAAUAGUUGAGAGUCAUUUCAAGAUAGAAAAGGCUCCUCUUCUUUUGGUUAAGAAGAAGAAAUUAGCAAGGAAAAAGGCUUUUGUUGGUGCGAGAAAUCAUUCGAUCUCGGGGCACUGGAGUUGAUGACAAGGCGAGCCUCCUGGGCGCUCGACC
rnacentral:lncRNA from 1 species